rnacentral:rRNA from 1 species
AGUGAACGCUGGCGGUAGGCCUAACACAUGCAAGUCGAACGGCAGCACAGGAGAGCUUGCUCUCUAGGUGGCGAGUGGCGGACGGGUGAGGAAUACAUCGGAAUCUGCCCAGUCGUGGGGGAUAACGUAGGGAAACUUACGCUAAUACCACAUACGACCUUCGGGUGAAAGAGGGGGAUCGCAAGACCUCUCGCGAUUGGAUGAGCCGAUGUCGGAUUAGCUAGUUAGCGGGGUAAUGGCCCACCAAGGCGACGAUCCGUAGCUGGUCUGAGAGGAUGAUCAGCCACACUGGAACUGAGACACGGUCCAGACUCCUACGGGAGGCAGCAGUGGGGAAUAUUGGACAAUGGGCGCAAGCCUGAUCCAGCCAUACCGCGUGGGUGAAGAAGGCCUUCGGGUUGUAAAGCCCUUUUGUUGGGAAAGAAAUCUUUCAGGCUAAUACCCUGGGAGGAUGACGGUACCCAAAGAAUAAGCACCGGCUAACUUCGU